GCAUUGAGAAACUCUUGAAAGCUGGAGCAAAUGUUGUUUUAACUACAAAAGGAAUUGAUGACAUGGCUCUUAAGUAUUUUGUGGAAGCUGGGGCUAUCGCUGUGAGACGUGUUCGUAAAGAGGAUAUGCGUCAUGUUGCCAAGGCAACUGGUGCAACCAUGGUAUCAACUUUUGCUGAUAUGGAAGGGGAGGANUUCUUGGAUAUGCUGAUGAAGUUGUGGAAGAGCGCAUUGCUGACGAUGAUGUGAUUAUGAUAAAGGGAACAAAAUCUACAAGUGCGGUUUCUCUAAUCCUUAGAGGCGCAAAUGACUACAUGCUGGAUGAGAUGGAGAGAGCUUUGCACGAUGCCUUAUCUAUUGUUAAAAGGACCCUUGAAUCUAACAUGGUAGUAGCAGGUGGAGGUGCAGUUGAGGCUGCCUUGUCUGUGUAUUUGGAGUAUCUUGCUACAACUCUUGGAUCACGAGAGCAGUUGGCAAUUGCAGAAUUUGCUGAAUCUUUACUGAUCAUACCAAAGGUACUUGCUGUCAAUGCUGCUAAGGAUGCCACUGAGUUAGUAGCAAAACUAAGAGCUUACCACCAUACUGCACAAACAAAGGCUGACAAGAAACAUUUAUCAAGCAUGGGGCUAGACCUUUCAAAGGGCACCAUUCGUAACAACUUAGAAGCUGGAGUUAUCGAACCUGCAAUGAGCAAAGUGAAGAUAAUUCAGUU
rnacentral:misc_RNA from 1 species